rnacentral:rRNA from 1 species
UACGUAGGGUCCGAGCGUUGUCCGGAAUUACUGGGCGUAAAGAGCUCGUAGGUGGUUUGUCGCGUUGUCCGUGAAAACUCACAACUCAAUUGUGGGCGUGCGGGCGAUACGGGCAGACUGGAGUAUUGCAGGGGGAGACUGGAAUUCCUGGUGUAGCGGUGGAAUGCGCAGAUAUCAGGAGGAACACCCGGUGGCGAAGGCGGGUCUCUGGGCAGUAACUGACGCUGAGGAGCGAAAGCGUGGGGAGCGAACAGG